rnacentral:rRNA from 1 species
CCUACGGGUGGCAGCAGUGGGGAAUAUUGCACAAUGGGGGAAACCCUGAUGCAGCGACGCCGCGUGAAGGAAGAAGUAUUUCGGUAUGUAAACUUCUAUCAGCAGGGAAGAAAAUGACGGUACCUGACUAAGAAGCCCCGGCCAACUACGUACCAGCAGCCGCGGUAAUACGUAGGGGGCACGCUUUAUCCGGAUUUACUGGGGUUAAGGGGAGCGUAGGCGGUGCAGCAAGUCAGAAGGGAAAGCCCGGGGCUCAACUCCGGGACUGCUUUUGAAACUGUUGAACUAGAGUGCAGGAGAGGUAAGUGGAAUUCCUAGUGUAGCGGUGAAAUGCGUAGAUAUUAGGAGGAACACCAGUGGCGAAGGCGGCUUACUGGACUGUAAAUGACGCUGAGGCUCGAAAGCGUGGGGAGCAAACAGGAUUAGAUACCCGGGUAGUC